CAGGGAGACAACAAAAUGUUUAAUAUUAUUAUUUUGUCACCUUAGGUCGAUCGGUAUCUCACAUUUUUAAUUUAUUAAGAAUUUCAUUUCCUAAGUUUUUCUAGGUCACACCCAUUAUUUUUCCUGGGCCAUUAGCUCAGGUGGUUAGAGCGCACCCCUGAUAAGGGUGAGGUCCCUGGUUCAAGUCCAGAAUGGCCCAUCUCUCUAUGUUGGGGGUAUAGCUCAGUUGGUAGAGCGCCUGCUUUGCAAGCAGGAUGUCAGCGGUUCGAGUCCGCUUACCUCCACUGAUUACCACCUCUUCCAUAAUCUGUAGAAAGGAAAUGUUUUGAGUUGUGAUCAAUUUCUGAACGAAUCUAGCUUCCUAAUGUAAUCAUUAAGAUGCUGGACUCAUUGAAUUAAUUUCAUUGUUUUCAGAGAACCUUGACAACUGCAUAGAUUAUUUUUAAAGACAAUAAGCAUCUUUAAUGAUGCAGAUUUAUUAUUUGUGCGAAUGCAUUAAUAACAAUUCUAUUAAGCUGAUGCUUCAA
rnacentral:tRNA from 1 species